rnacentral:rRNA from 1 species
CCCCACAUUGGAACUGAGACACGGUCCAAACUCCUACGGGAGGCAGCAGUGAGGAAUAUUGGUCAAUGGGGGGAAGCCUGAACCAGCCAAGUAGCGUGCAGGAUGACGGCCCUAUGGGUUGUAAACUGCUUUUAUGCGGGGAUAAAGUAUGGGACGUGUCCCAUUUUGCAGGUACCGCAUGAAUAAGGACCGGCUAAUUCCGUGCCAGCAGCCGCGGUAAUACGGAAGGUCCGGGCGUUAUCCGGAUUCAUUGGGUUUAAAGGGAGCGUAGGCCGCCCCUUAAGCGUGUUGUGAAAUGCCGCGGCUCAACCGUGGCACUGCAGCGCGAACUGGGGGGCUUGAGUGUGCGCGACGCAGGCGGAAUUCGUGGUGUAGCGGUGAAAUGCUUAGAUAUCACGAGGAACCCCGAUUGCGAAGGCAGCUUGCGGGAGCACUACUGACGCUGAAGCUCGAAGGCGCGGGUAUCGAACAGGAUUAGAUACCCUGGUAGUCCGCGCGGUAAACGAUGGAUGCCCGCUGUGUGCCAUUAUGGUAUGCGGCCAAGCGAAAGCGUUAAGCAUCCCACCUGGGGAGUACGCCGGCAACGGUGAAACUCAAAGGAAUUGACGGGGGCCCGCACAAGCGGAGGAACAUGUGGUUUAAUUCGAUGAUACGCGAGGAACCUUACCCGGGCUUGAACUGCCAGCGGACGAUACAGAGAUGUUGAGGCCCUUCGGGGCGCUGGCGGAGGUGCUGCAUGGUUGUCGUCAGCUCGUGCCGUGAGGUGUCGGCUUAAGUGCCAUAACGAGCGCAACCCCUCUCCGUAGUUGCCAUCAGGUGAUGCUGGGCACUCUGCGGACACUGCCACCGCAAGGUGUGAGGAAGGUGGGGACGACGUCAAAUCAGCACGGCCCUUACGUCCGGGGCUACACACGUGUUACAAUGGGGGGUACAGAGCGCCGGCUUGCCGCAAGGAGAGUCCAAUCGCGAAAACCUCCCUCAGCUCGGACUGGGGUCUGCAACCCGACCCCACGAAGCUGGAUUCGCUAGUAAUCGCGCAUCAGCCAUGGCGCGGUGAAUACGAACCCGGGCCUUGCACUCACCGCCCGUCAAG